GACGAACGCUGGCGGCGUGCCUAAUACAUGCAGGUCGAGCGCAGGAAACUGACGGAACUCUUCGGAGGGAAGACAGUGGAAUGAGCGGCGGACGGGUGAGUAACACGUAAGGAACCUGCCUCAAGGAUUGGGAUAACUCCGAGAAAUCGGAGCUAAUACCGGAUAGUUCAACGGACCGCAUGGUCCGCUGAUGAAAGGCGCUUCGGCGUCACCUUGAGAUGGCCUUGCGGUGCAUUAGCUAGUUGGUGGGGUAACGGCCCACCAAGGCGACGAUGCAUAGCCGGCCUGAGAGGGUGAUCGGCCACACUGGGACUGAGACACGGCCCAGACUCCUACGGGAGGCAGCAGUAGGGAAUCUUCCACAAUGGACGAAAGUCUGAUGGAGCAACGCCGCGUGAGUGAUGAAGGUUUUCGGAUCGUAAAACUCUGUUGUAAGGGAAGAACACGUACGAGAGGGAAUGCUCGUACCUUGACGGUACCUUACGAGAAAGCCACGGCUAACUACGUGCCAGCCGCCGCCGUAA
rnacentral:rRNA from 1 species